rnacentral:rRNA from 1 species
AAACAUUAGCAGACAACCGGGAUGCCUCAGUAACGGCGAGUGAAGCGGCAAGAGCUCAAAUUUGAAAGCUGGCCCCUCCGGGGUCCGCGUUGUAAUUUGCAGAGGAUGCUUUGGGUGCGGCCCCCGUCUAAGUGCCCUGGAACGGGCCGUCAGAGAGGGUGAGAAUCCCGUCUUGGGCGGGGUGUCCGUGCCCGUGUAAAGCUCCUUCGACGAGUCGAGUUGUUUGGGAAUGCAGCUCUAAAUGGGUGGUAAAUUUCAUCUAAAGCUAAAUACUGGCCGGAGACCGAUAGCGCACAAGUAGAGUGAUCGAAAGAUGAAAAGCACUUUGAAAAGAGAGUUAAACAGCACGUGAAAUUGUUGAAAGGGAAGCGCUUGCGACCAGACUCGCCCUCGGGGUUCAGCCGGCACUCGUGCCGGUGUACUUCCCCGGGGGCGGGCCAGCGUCAGCUUGGGCGGCCGGUCAAAGGCCUCCGGAAUGUAGUGCCCCCCGGGGCACCUUAUAGCCGGAGGUGCAAUGCGGCCAGCCUGGGCUGAGGAACGCGCUUCGGCACGGACGCUGGCAUAAUGGUCGCAAACGACCCGUCUUGAAACACGGACC